AUGUGAGCAAGAACAGUUUACAGAGCUAUAGAGCAAUCGCUUAUCAAAAUGGGCAAAACUAUCCUAGAAUGGCUCAAUUUUUACAUAUCAUGGCCUGUUUUUUACAGGUUGUGGUGUUGUCAUCAGUCAUUUUAGUUCCCUAGCACAACUCAACACAAGGCUAGAUGGGGGUUUGGGAUAGUGUUGAGCAUCGAUUGGAUUCAGAAGUUUGUACCCUAGAACCAAUGUGCUCAACACCAUGUGAGCAAUCAUUUGUGGACUUGCAACUAUUCAUUCUAAAGUUAUUGUUUUCGCUUUCCUCUCUUUUUUCUCUUGCAUACCAAAUGCUUUCUAAAUUACUUAUAAGGCUGCCCUCUUUACGAGACAUUGAGACUUGUCCACCACUCGUUUUCUGAAAUAAUUAAUUUGCUCUUUUACAGGUCCUUCGAGACCUGAGAAAGAUUACAACUAGGCUAACCCUUUGUAGAAGAAUAACGCAAGGGUGCUUUAUGACUUAGGCAAUUCCAACUAAGUUCGUGACAGUCCGAUGAACUCCUAAGCCACUUCCUCGGCCACAUCAAACUCUUUGCGGGAAGCAGCCCAGAAUCAAGUUGGGCUGAUUCGGACAUCAUCGAUAUCCACCACAUCAUAGACCAAGCCUUCUUUUUCCGAACUCUUUUGUGGCGAAUGAAUGCAGUGAACACAGGCUAUGCAAUGGCAACUAAUAAGAAUUGGAUGAAAGCCUAAAACCAAGGAAGUUGCAGCCUGUUGUAUGCAUACAGACAAUGGAAAUGAGGAUGUGAGCACACAAAUUAUAAGAUCGAGGCAGUAUGUGCAAUUGGUAAUCAUGAUGUUUCUACCAUUAAAGCCAUACAGAAAAGAUCCAGGGGAAGGUUGACAGGAAAUGAUACGAGUGGUACAAAACUGCAAUUGACAGAUCCUACUGGGUUCUGUCCUUUCAAACACAAUUAUCAAAACAAAAGAGAAGAAGUUCAAACUAAUACAGAAUGCAUUUAUAGAAAUUAGAUCUUCUUGGGCUACAAGAGGUCACAGAAUUAUGACAGAUAGCUGGAAGGAUGUGCAGAUAAACAUGAUAAAUGACUUCCUGGUAUCUGGCUCAAGAGGAACAUUCUUUUUCUUUGAGUUGAUACUUCUGAUGAAGUAAAAGAAAUGCUAACAAGACCUUUUAAGAUAUUGGGCAAAGUUAUAGAGGCAGCAGAUGGGGGAAGGUGGCACAGAUACCAAACUGAUUUUGUUUUCAACAUUUUCAGAUCUUUUUGGUAGAUGAACUGGAAUUUGCUGUUCCCAAGUCAAGAAUAAUCUUCUGCUGGGCUUAUGUGAUAAUCACAGAAAACACUACAUGCUAUAAGGCUCCUGGGAAACUGCUAGAGGAAAUGAGAACAAGUUUAUUCUGGACACUUUGUGCUGCUUAUUCCCCUGUUAAAAUUCUGGAGGAUUUUACAAAUUUAGAAGCGGGUCAGAGAGUGCCUUGAGAAAGGAAAGAAGAUAACUAGGCACAUACCAACCAAAUCUGGUUGUUAAAUCUUGUGGAAAAGAAUUUACAGCUGCCAAUGGACUUCUUAAACCAUUUUUCAGAAGGUUUAUGACUAAUUUUCUACUUUGUUAUGAUGCUAGAUCAUCAGUCUGCUUCCAAAAAAAAUAUUCCACUUUAGUAAGUGUAUUUCAUCCUGAUUGGGCAGAUCAGAUGGGGGAAAUGGAGUUCAACAUUUUGGAAGAAGCAGAUCUGUAAAGAAGCCUGUGAACCACCCUUCACAAUAGUUGAGCAAUGAUAUGUUGUCCAUACCAUCACUCUAUAAUGACACCUACCGAACUAAGCUUGCUGUUGAACCUGUCUGUGCUGGUGAUGAGCAGAAGUAUGGGCCAUUUUGCAGUGUUUAUGGAUGAUUAUUCACAUGAAUUACUUUCUGAAUCCAUCAUACUGCUACUGUCCACUUAUGAUGCUUGUGUUAUACUUGUUUUGUUUACAUUUGGUACAUUCCAGAGGUCCUUCAUGGCUUGAAUGAAUGCGUAACCUGACUGGAACUAGAUAAUGGAAAGUGAUUUAUUUCUGCUGCACAGGUAAUUGAUUUGUGGAUAUUGGUCAACCAGCCUUGCAAGAUGAUGAGAUACUCUCUAUAACGAUAUGGAGCAAGCAGUGGCACAAGCGAGAUCAACAAGUUUGAGAUCUUCAAUGGAGAGUCAAAGAAGGUCUACACAGAUGUUGCAUUACCUGAAAUGUGCUGCAACCGAUGAAGAUGACACUGGUUUUUAUUUUCUUCAUGUUAAUUUGGAAAUGAGAUUUUGAUGAACUCUAAUUGGCCAUUACUGACUGAAUCUUACUGCUAUGGAUUAUUGUUUAGUGAGAGUAAUAGUGUAGAUCAUCUGCUAACCAUUAGCUCGAUGUAAUUCUAUCAGAUUAGAACUUUUUAGAAGAAAUACUCAGUUUUCUUUUCCUCCAUGUCGGUCUUGCUCCUGAUGUCUGUGUUUUGGAUGGUUAAUACAAGGUUGCUCCAGGGAAAUAGAAGGUUAAACACUUAAAAUACACUCUGAAGUUUCUGAUACCAGAAAACUGGAGGGUAGGAUUUUGAUUGAUGAGGGCUUCUAAAAGGUAGUGCUCUGCUGCUUAGCAACACAUAUCACUAAUUUCUGAGACUUAAAUCAGAUUUUUGUACCAAGAAAAAAAGGGAAAAAAAUUAAAGAAAUGAGCUGGUAAAGAGCUGCAGGUUGUCCAUAAAUUAGAUGCUUUCAGGUUUCAUACCACUUCUGGUCCCAGUUUUCCACACUUUUAUAACCAAGUACAUCCAUUUAAAAAAAGGGGAAAAAAUCAAGCUAAAGAACUGUCCUAUUCAAGUCCAUAGGGUAUGUUUUAAUCUGAACUGUAGAAGAAACUUUGAUCUCCAGAGUCUUUACCUCUGGAACUGACCAUAGGAUAAUCAUGUGUCACGGAUUCUAUAGCAUGAUGCUGAAAUUUUGGCACUUCACAAUCUUGUGACAUGAGAACUGUGGCAAGGUCUUGUAGCACUGCUCUUUCUCCCAUCUCCUUGUUUUCUUCUCUCAAUGUCAUAAUCCUUUCAUGGCCUCUUAUUAGCUUUACUCUUUCUUACUUGUAGACUGAAGGUGAUGUAUUGUCAGUGCAUUUCUUCUCUCAGGAUACUUCGAUAACAUCAUAUACUUGGAGGAUAGAAGCUGCUGCAACAAGUCAGCUUUAUGCACUCAUCAACAGAAAUGCACAUGCACCUCUUUUUCAGCCAAAUGGGCUCACUCUAUAUAGUAGCAGCUUGUUGCAAUGAAGCUCAUAAUUUAGCACCUCCUCCUGGCUGACAAACUUUGAACAACCUAUCCUGUACUUUCAUGGAUGCUGGAAAAUAUUGUGUAAGCAAACUGAAAGUUUGGUGGCUGAAUGAAUCACAAAGAAGUAGGGUCUGUGGUUGGUUGUAGCCAUUAAUGAUUCCAGUAUAAUCUGUAGCUGGUGUCCUCUGUAAUAACUAUUCAAGCUCAGUUUGAUCCACAACCAUAAAGAGUGCCACCUAAUGCUCAACAGCCAGCAACUGUGAAAUGAACUCUAUCUGCUUCCAGUAAUCAUUUUCAGAAUCUCUCUGCCCAUAAAUUGUGAAAUGGAUGGACAAAGCAAAGAAAGCCUGAAACUGUGAACAGAGACCAAGUCAAACAAACUAUGGGCCCUGAAAGGUAAAGGUGGAACAAUUAAAUAAGCAUGACACUGUGCUGCCCCAGGAACUGCUGCACCAGAGCAAGCUCAUUGAAACUUCUUGAGAGGGAUAAACCACACACAUCAUGCUCUAAUCCUCUAUUGUUGUGUUUGCUUAAAUACUAGCACAGUAUGACAACUUUAGCUCAUGUAGGUGCAAACUGCUCUUUUGUUAUUCUACACUGCAGUCUCUUGAAUUCCAUGCAUGCAAAUACAUCUCUUCAGAUACAUCUUCCUAAGAAAGAAACCCCAUCCUCUCUGGCUGACCUAAG